rnacentral:rRNA from 1 species
AUUGAACGCUGGCGGCAUGCCUUACACAUGCAAGUCGAACGGCAGCACGGGGCAACCUGGUGGCGAGUGGCGAGCGGGUGAGUAAUGCAUCGGAACGUACCUUUCAGUGGGGGAUAACGUAGCGAAAGUUACGCUAAUACCGCAUAUUCUGUGAGCAGGAAAGCAGGGGAUCGCAAGACCUUGCGCUGAUUGAGCGGCCGAUGUCAGAUUAGCUAGUUGGUGAGGUAAAGGCUCACCAAGGCGACGAUCUGUAGCGGGUCUGAGAGGAUGAUCCGCCACACUGGAACUGAGACACGGUCCAGACUCCUACGGGAGGCAGCAGUGGGGAAUUUUGGACAAUGGGGGCAACCCUGAUCCAGCCAUGCCGCGUGAGUGAAGAAGGCCUUCGGGUUGUAAAGCUCUUUCGGCCGGGAAGAAAUCGCAUGGGCUAAUACCCUGUGUGGAUGACGGUACCGGAAUAAGAAGCACCGGCUAACUACGUGCCAGCAGCCGCCGUAACAC